rnacentral:rRNA from 1 species
GGAGUCUGGACCGUGUCUCAGUUCCAGUGUGGCCGUUCAUCCUCUCAGAUCGGCUACGCAUCCUCGCCUUGGUGGGCUGUUAUCUCACCAACUAGCUAAUGCGCCGCAGGUCCAUCAUUCAGCGAGGCUUUGGAGCCCCUUUUAGUAGAUCAGAGAUGCCUCCGAUCCAAUUAUUCGGUAUUAGCCUAGCUUUCGUCCAGGGUAUCCCAAACCUGUAUGGCAGGUUACCUACCGUGUUACUCACCCGUUCGCCGCUAGGUAUUGCUACCUCGCUCGACUUGCAUGUAUUAGGCACGCCGCCAGCGUUCAUC